rnacentral:rRNA from 1 species
GAUGAACGCUGGCGGCGUGCCUAAUACAUGCAAGUCGAGCGAAUGGAUUAAGAGCUUGCUCUUAUGAAGUUAGCGGCGGACGGGUGAGUAACACGUGGGUAACCUGCCCAUAAGACUGGGAUAACUCCGGGAAACCGGGGCUAAUACCGGAUAACAUUUUGAACCGCAUGGUUCGAAUUUGAAAGGCGGCUUCGGCUGUCACUUAUGCAUGGACCCGCGUCGCAUUAGCUAGUUGGUGAGGUAACGGCUCACCAAGGCAACGAUGCGUAGCCGACCUGAGAGGGUGAUCGGCCACACUGGGACUGAGACACGGCCCAGACUCCUACGGGAGGCAGCAGUAGGGAAUCUUCCGCAAUGGACGAAAGUCUGACGGAGCAACGCCGCGUGAGUGAUGAAGGCUUUCGGGUCGUAAAACUCUGUUGUUAGGGAAGAACAAGUGCUAGUUGAAUAAGCUGGCACCUUGACGGUACCUAACCAGAAAGCCACGGCUAACUACGUGCCAGCAGCCGCCGUAA